CCAGCAGGCUCUCCCAGCCCCGAUUGUUUUUACAGAUGAAGAAACUGAGGCUCCCAGACAGUUCAGAGACUUUCCCAGGGUCAGGAAGUAGCAACUGACAGACAGCCAUAGCCUAUGACAAUAAUUCAUCAUUUAAUAAGGGACUCUUGGAGGGAGGGAUCGUGCUGGCACCAGACCUGGGCAAAGGGACAGCCAGCGACCGAAAUAAGGCUCUUCCCUCCUGGAGCAUUUACCUUCUUCAACUGGGAGGAGGCAGCAAGGCCUAGACAUGUCAAUACAGGCUAUGCCAAGUAAAGGAAAAGUAUUUGAGACAGAGAUAAUGAGAGACAGAGAGACAGAGAUGAUGAGAGACCAAGAGACAGAGAUGAUGAGAGACCAAGAGACAGAGAUGAUGAGAGACAGAGAGACAGAGAUGAUGAGAGACAGAGAGACAGAGAUGAUGAGAGACCAAGAGACAGAGAUGAUGAGAGACCAAGAGACAGAGAUGAUGAGAGACAGAGAGACAGAGAUGAUGAGAGACAGAGACAGAGAUGAUGAGAGACAGAGAGACAGAGCCAGAGCCAGAGGAAGUGCCGGCUCCUGAUGAAAGGAAACAUUUUCAUAGUCAAAGCUGUCACCCAUGACUGGGUGUCAGAGGCCCCCUUUCCCUUAAGAGCAGCCCUGCAGUCCAGUAGGGUUCAGCUCUUUCUAGACUCCUGGGAUGUCCCCAGACCAACGAGGACCCCCCACCCCAGCUUGUGCCAGACUGGCAGAGCCUCUGAAAGCCCAAGGUCACCUCCACACCCCAGGGUGUCAUUAGAAAGAUGGCGGCAGGGACUCAGGGACCCAAAUGGGAUUUGUCUAGCUCGGAUCUUCUCACAGUGAGAGCCAUCUGCAGGGGGGCAAGGCCUCCCUGUGCUCUUCUUGGAAGCCUCAGAAGCGGGUGAAAUGAGCCUCAGGACUCAGGGCAAUGCAAAGGGAUGAUGGCUGCUGUUCCUCCUAACAGUCCUUUGAAUGCAGGUUCUAGACUCAUUAAAUAAAAGGAACUCCCCAAAAGGCA
rnacentral:lncRNA from 1 species